GGGGAUGAUUUGGCUUCGAUUAGAGCAGUGAGGAUUAGUUGCAUGUCGGCCUGAGCAUGCCGUUACGCGGCUCAUUUUUUUUAGACGCAAACAAUACUAAUUACGCUCCAGCUUACGCAAAAGCUGCGUAAGUUUAUCUUAUAAUUUGUCUCGCCUAAGGGCUUGAGACUUGGAGGCUCGCACUACUGAUUCUAUCUAAGUAGAUUUUCGCGGGUUCACCCAGAUAGAUUAUCUUUAAAGAGUUGAUUUGGCUUUAAGGAGAAAUUUUCAAAUCUUAGCUUUUUGGUUGCCUUGCGGAUUGAGUUGCUAAAAAGUGAAAUUCUUCAAUCCUUCUAAGCAUGUAGACGCUAAUAGUAGCUGUUUUAAGACUCCGGUUCAAUCCCGGACAUCUCCACCA
rnacentral:tmRNA from 1 species